GGAGUAAAACUCUAAACCAAGAAUUAAACCCCUACCCUCAUCCAUCUUCUUCGCGAGGCAGUAGAAACCCUACCCCCCUCUCCUUGGUCGCACAAUCUCAGCAACGGAAACCCCCUCCCGUGUGUGUGUGUUAACCAUCUAUACCUUCUCGUUCGUUAUCCGGUUAGUAUAAUCGUUCCCGUUUCAUCUACGUGUAUAUCUAUGUUGCGUGAUGUCGUUAGGUAUCUUGGAUUUGGGGAACUUGCUGUUUGGGGUAGCUGGAGUGGUCAUGGGUCGACUGGGAGGAUUUAUGUGAUUGAUUUCAUGAAACUAUACUUGGGGUUUUGAAACAGUUUAACUUCGUUUACUAUUUGCUUCCGCUGAACUUAUUGAUUUUCGUUUAAACUUGUUAAGGAUGGUUUUUUUUAUUAAUAAUGGGGAUUUUAU
rnacentral:lncRNA from 1 species